GAGAGAGAGAGAGAAAGAUGUUUCAGCCCUAUAAAGGCCUGUUGAUCUGCUCAGUUAUUAUCGGUGAAUCACAGCAGAGGGAGACAGUAUGGGUUUAAUCUUAAUUUGCUGUGUUUGCUUAACGGGUUUACAGUAGAGUGAUUUCUCUCCCCUCCUCCGCAUUCACUGAGCCACUCAGAGGGACGCUCUGUUCGGGGGAGGAUAGUUUUACCGACAGUCAGCCAGGCAGAAUGGAAGCAAUUUGGAAGGACAUCUACUCUGUUGUGCUAGGAUGAAAGUAAUGACAUCUUCAAUGCUGUUUUCACCCUCGGAGUGAUUUUAACAAUGUAUCUGCCUGUGGGGGCUUAAUGAAGUAGGCUGAGGGAUGUGCAGUGAACUGUCUCUGCCCACUGGUUCACCCCGUUCUCUCUGUCCACUGAAUCACACUGGACGCAUAUGGUGUUCUGCAGACCUGGGUCCAAAUAGUGUUUGAAAUAUUUCAUAUACUUUAGUUGUGCUUGAUUCAGCUUGUCUGGUGCGAUGGUCCCAAAAGAGCAAACGCCACCCACCCGGUGCUCCAGGACCUGAGCCCUAGGACCAUGCCUCAGGACUACCUGGCCUGAUGACUCCUUGCUGUCCCCAGUCCACCUGGUCGUGCUGCUGCUCCAGUUUCAACUGUUCUGCCUGCGGCUAUGGACCCCUGACCUGUUCACCGGAUGUGAUACUUGUCCCAGACCUGCUGUUUUCAACUCUCUAGAGACAGCAGGAGCGGGAUUGAGUCACCAUAAAAGACUGGGCCUAAAGAGCUGUGGUCUUUGCUCAGCUCUUCAGUUGCUUAGAACAAAAACAAACAUCUAUGAUGAAAACAAAACAUUGACACGUACAGUAUUUCAUCAUCCCCCCCAAAAAAUGUGUCCCCUGAGACCGUCUAUGACAAGACUGGCAGUCUACGAAGAGGGCUGUCAAGUGCAAAGGAUGUAGACACUACGUUCUUCUGCAAGCUUGUGUGGUUAUAUUCUCAACACAACAUUUGUUUUUGGAAGAUGUCAAAGCAUAGAAAUCUCAUUGGUACUGAUUGUUGAACCCAAUAAACCAAUGAUUGGCAGUCUUGAGUUGCCAGUGCACAUACAUUAAGAAUUUCUGAAUUGUCUUGGUAAUUUUGACAUAAUUAACUAAUGGCAAUCAACAGAGGAAAGGAUAUCUCUCGCUACCAUAUAAGAGGGAGCAUAGCACCAAUCAUGAUAAGGCAUAGGCUGGGGUUAAAAAGCCAUGAUUCUGUUUGAAUGUGAUUACGCAACAAGGAAAUGAGCUGAAUUCUACUGAAUUUAAAAAAUGAUGGUGCAUAAUGCCACUGCUCAUUAGAAUGACUUCAGAGUGAGCUAUGUCAACAAGGCUGCACACAAUUGAUGCCCAGAUAAAAUAUGUAUAUAUUUUUUUAAGUGAAUUUGGAACAAGCCUUGAGCUUCAUCCCACAUACAACAUUCUCAGUCAGCAAGGCUGUGCCACAGACAGCAAUGGGGCAGGAAAUGGAAGAGCAGCUUAUGAAUCAUAGGGACUAUACAGCCAUAUGACUAUCUUUCAUAGCAUGUUCAGCCAAUUAAUUGGACCUCGAGGCUCAUCUCAAGAAUGGGCUUUGAUGUAUGACCCUUUGUGAUCUGCAUUAAGACUUUAAGGAUCAAGUCAUUAUGAAUACACUAAUAUUGUCACAUGCAGUAUUUUUCACAUUUUGCAUGUAAACGUAUUGUUUUCCCGUUAAAUCAGAUAUGGGUCCAAGAUAUGAAUAGCUAAACUGUUAAACUAUAGGAGUACUAUUUGUGCCGCACAUGUGUUCCAAAUAAGCUCGACACCAAUGACAUCAUACCAGAAUGCCUGUGUUGCAUCCCAUAUGGUUCCAACAAGGUUCUGCCCAAGAGCAAAGGGGUGUCACUUCAUCCGAUGGAGAAAGAAAUAUAGAAAUAUAUUUUCUGUGAAAUACAUUUCCUGUGUUAAAUUGUGUUAGUUCACCGUUUCUAUCAAAUCUUAGGUCAAUGUCUUGUAAAUCUUCCACAAUGAAUAUUUAAUGUGAGUGUGACUUCCUUGAACUUGUGCAGAUGAGAAUGUGGCCUUCGUGUCUGGACAUUAUCCAAACAUGCAUGAGUGACCCCACCUGGUACCGCUUACAAGCCUUAAACCAAAACAUGAAUUUAUAAUUGGGUAGGCACUAACACCUGGCAUAACCAGUUCAGCUUAUAAACAGCAGGGGAGAACUAAGCGAUCAGGUUUUUAUUGCUAACACCUGCCUCUUAUGUGCCAGAGGUGCAAUAAAGCACAACACAAUUAACCUGUGAAAUAUGAGCCCUGUUGUGGCAACUAUGUUACGACUCUGAUACCUCAACUCCUCAUUUGUGAGUAGAAUUAUUGUAAUGUACAGUAGGUUCAUUUUUCUUCUCAAUAAAAAAUGAAAUAUAACAAAUUGA